rnacentral:rRNA from 1 species
GACGAACGCUGGCGGCGUGCUUAACACAUGCAAGUCGAACGGAAAGGCCCUGCUUUUGUGGGGUGCUCGAGUGGCGAACGGGUGAGUAACACGUGAGUAACCUGCCCUUGACUUUGGGAUAACUUCAGGAAACUGGGGCUAAUACCGGAUAGGAGCUCCUGCUGCAUGGUGGGGGUUGGAGAGUUUCGGCGGUUGGGGAUGGACUCGCGGCUUAUCAGCUUGUUGGUGGGGUAGUGGCAUACCAAGGCUUUGACGGGUAGCCGGCCUGAGAGGGUGACCGGCCACAUUGGGACUGAGAUACGGCCCAGACUCCUACGGGAGGCAGCAGUGGGGAAUAUUGCACAAUGGGCGGAAGCCUGAUGCAGCAACGCCGCGUGCGGGAUGACGGCCUUCGGGUUGUAAACCGCUUUCGCCUGGGACGAAGCGUGAGUGACGGUAAUGGGUAAAGAAGCACCGGCUAACUACGUG